rfam:Arsukibacterium sp. MJ3 EFN4V4Q8, whole genome shotgun sequence.
ACAUUACUUUAUUGGUAACGUCUUUUCGAUAGCGCACGGCUCAUUCCCUAUGAGCCAUUCCCCUAGGCCCAGAACAAUUUAGAUUGGUUCUGGGCUUCUUUUA